UACGUAGGGGCCUAGCGUUGUCCGGAUUUAUUGGGCGUAAAGAGCUCGUAGGCGGUUCGGCAAGUCGGAUGUGAAAUCUCCACGCUUAACGUGGAGGGGCCAUUCGAAACUGCCGUGACUCGAGUCCGGUAGGGGAGUGUGGAAUUCCUGGUGUAGCGGUGAAAUGCGCAGAUAUCAGGAGGAACACCGAUGGCGAAGGCAGGUCUCUGGGCCACUACUGACGCUGAGAAGCGAAAGCAUGGGGAGCGAACAGG
rnacentral:rRNA from 1 species